AGUGAACGCUGGCGGUAGGCCUAACACAUGCAAGUCGAACGGCAGCACAGUAAGAGCUUGCUCUUACGGGUGGCGAGUGGCGGACGGGUGAGGAAUACAUCGGAAUCUACUUUUUCGUGGGGGAUAACGUAGGGAAACUUACGCUAAUACCGCAUACGACCUACAGGUGAAAGCAGGGGAUCUUCGGACCUUGCGCGAUUGAAUGAGCCGAUGUCGGAUUAGCUAGUUGGCGGGGUAAAGGCCCACCAACGCGACGAUCCGUAGCUGGUCUGAGAGGAUGAUCAGCCACACUGGAACUGAGACACGGUCCAGACUCCUACGGGAGGCAGCAGUGGGGAAUAUUGGACAAUGGGCGCAAGCCUGAUCCAGCCAUACCGCGUGGGUGAAGAAGGCCUUCGGGUUGUAAAGCCCUUUUGUUGGGAAAGAAAAGCAGCAGGUUAAUACCCCGCUGUUCUGACGGUACCCAAAGAAUAAGCACCGGCUAACUUCGUG
rnacentral:rRNA from 1 species